rnacentral:rRNA from 1 species
UCCGAAUGGAGCAAUCUGUAAAGAGUCAUGUCUUUACACGAAAGAGGGAACCGGGUGAACUGAAACAUCUAAGUAAUCCGAGGAAAAGAAAGUAACAACGAUACCCUAAGUAGCGGCGAGCGAACGGGGUAGAGCCUAAACCAUAUUCAUGUCAAGGAUGCAGCCGUUGUGGAUAUGGGGUAGCGGGAAAGAGAGAGAAAGAACUGCAAGCUAUUUCGCAGACGCAAGCAAAGGAACAAGAAAGAUCUGGAAAGGUCUACCGUAGAAGGUGAAAGUCCUGUAUUGGUAGUUUUCUUGCGCUGUAUCUCUUCUCCCAAGUAAUGUGGAACACGAGGAAUUCUGCAUGAAUCUGCGAGGACCAAAUCUCGUAAGGCUAAAUACUCUUUCUAACCGAUAGCGCAUAGUACCGUGAGGGAAAGGUGAAAAGAACCCCGGGAGGGGAGUGAAAGAGAACCUGAAAUUGUGUGCUUACAAGCGGUCAGAGCCACUUUGGUGGUGAUGGCGUGCCUUUUGGAGAAUGAUCCUGCGAGUUACGUUUCAUGGCGAGGUUAAGAAGAACGGAGCCGAAGGGAAACCGAGUCUGAAUAGGGCGCAAGAGUCGUGGAGCGUAGACGCGAAACCCGGUGAUCUAAGCCUGUCCAGGAUGAAGCUGUGGUAAGACACAGUGGAGGUCCUAACCCACCGCCGUUGAAAAGUUGGGGGAUGAGGUAGGUUUAGGGGUGAAAAGCCAAUCGAACCGGGAGAUAGCUCGUUCUCUCCGAAAUGCAUCUAGGUGCAGCCUUGCGUGUUUAAUGAUGGGGGUAGAGCACUGACUGAACUAGGGGGCAUAUAGCUUACUGAAUUCAAUCAAACUCCGAAUACCAUUAUUCAAGAGCGCAGGAGUGAGACCAUGGGAGUUAACUUCCAUCGUCGAAAGGGAAACAACCCAGACCACCAGCUAAGGUCCCAAAUCAUAUCUAAGUGGGAAAGGAGGUGGAGAUUCUUAAACAACUAGGAGGUUGGCUUAGAAGCAGCCAUUCCUUGAAAGAGUGCGUAAUAGCUCACUAGUCGAGAGUCUCUGCGCCGACAAUGUAACGGGGCUAAGAUAUGAACCGAAGCUGUGGAUGUCGUAAGACAUGGUAGGAGAGCGUUCUGUAGGCCGUGGAAGGAGGACUGAAAGGAACUCUGGAGGUAUCAGAAGUGAGAAUGCAGGAAUAAGUAGCGAGAAGGGGAGUGAGAAUCUCCCCCGCUGGAAGACCAAGGUUUUCAGGGUAAAGCUUGUCUUCCCUGAGUAAGCCGGGACCUAAGCCCAGGCUAGAAUGCGUAGGCGAAUGGAAAACAGAUGAAUAUUUCUGUGCCAGUUCUACUUUGUGAAGGAGGGACGCAGAAGGGUAUGCGCGCAGACGAACGGAAGAGUCUGUAGAAGCAUGUAGAGUGACUUGGUAGGCAAAUCCGCCAGGUUAGACUUAAGGUGUGACAUAUACUCGCAAGAGGAAUGCGCAAAUCCCACGCUGCCGAGAAAAGCUUCUAGCGGUAAAGUAGAGACUGCCCGUACUGGAAACCGACACAGGUGGUCAGGAUGAGAAAUCUAAAGCGGACAGGCUAACUCUCGUUAAGGAACUCUGCAAAAUGGCCCCGUAACUUCGGGAGAAGGGGUGCCU